rnacentral:tRNA from 1 species
GGAGAGAUGUCCGAGUGGUUGAAGGAGCACGACUGGAAAUCGUGUGUACUGACAAAACGGUACCGAGGGUUCGAAUCCCUCUCUCUCCGCCA